AUACGGAGGGUGCAAGCGUUACUCGGAAUCACUGGGCGUAAAGCGCGCGCAGGCGGCUAUUUAAGUUGGAUGUGAAAGCCUACGGCUCAACCGUAGAACUGCAUCCAAAACUAUUUAGCUAGAGUGUGGGAGAGGAAGAUGGAAUUAGUUGUGUAGGGGUAAGAUCCGUAGAGAUAACUAGGAAUACCAAAAGCGAAGGCAAUCUUCUGGAACACUACUGACGCUGAGGCGCGAAAGCGUGGGGAGCAAACGGGAUUAGAAACCCUAGUAGUCC
rnacentral:rRNA from 1 species